rnacentral:rRNA from 1 species
CGAUGAACCUCACUUGUGGGGGGAUUAGUGGCGAACGGGUGAGUAACACGUGAGUAACCUGCCCUUAACUCUGGGAUAAGCCUGGGAAACUGGGUCUAAUACCGGAUAUGACUCCUCAUCGCAUGGUGGGGGGUGGAAAGCUUUAUUGUGGUUUUGGAUGGACUCGCGGCCUAUCAGCUUGUUGGUGAGGUAAUGGCUCACCAAGGCGACGACGGGUAGCCGGCCUGAGAGGGUGACCGGCCACACUGGGACUGAGACACGGCCCAGACUCCUACGGGAGGCAGCAGUGGGGAAUAUUGCACAAUGGGCGAAAGCCUGAUGCAGCGACGCCGCGUGAGGGAUGACGGCCUUCGGGUUGUAAACCUCUUUCAGUAGGGAAGAAGCGAAAGUGACGGUACCUGCAGAAGAAGCGCCGGCUAACUACGUGCCAGCAGCCGCGGUAAUACGUAGGGCGCAAGCGUUAUCCGGAAUUAUUGGGCGUAAAGAGCUCGUAGGCGGUUUUGUCGCGUCUGGCCGUGAAAGUCCGGGGCUCAACUCCGGAUUCUGCGGUGGGUACGGGCAGACUAGAGUGAUGUAGGGGAGACUGGAAUUCCUGGUGUAGCCGGUGAAAUGCGCAGAUAUCAGGAGGAACACCGAUGGCGAAGGCAGGUCUCUGGGCAUUAACUGACGCUGAGGAGCGAAAGCAUGGGGAGCGAACAGGAUUAGAUACCCUGGUAGUCCAUGCCGUAAACGUUGGGCACUAGGUGUGGGGGACAUUCCACGUUUUCCGCGCCCGUAGCUAACGCAUUAAGUGCCCCGCCUGGGGAGUACGGCCGCAAGGCUAAAACUCAAAGGAAUUGACGGGGGCCCGCACAAGCGGCGGAGCAUGCGGAUUAAUUCGAUGCAACGCGAAGAACCUUACCAAGGCUUGACAUGAACCCGGAAAUACCUGGAAACAGGUGCCCCGCUUGCGGUCGGUUUACAGGUGGUGCAUGGUUGUCGUCAGCUCGUGUCGUGAGAUGUUGGGUUAAGUCCCGCAACGAGCGCAACCCUCGUUCUAUGUUGCCAGCGCGUUAUGGCGGGGACUCAUAGGAGACUGCCGGGGUCAACUCGGAGGAAGGUGGGGACGACGUCAAAUCAUCAUGCCCCUUAUGUCUUGGGCUUCACGCAUGCUACAAUGGCCGGUACAAAGGGUUGCGAUACUGUGAGGUGGAGCUAAUCCCAAAAAGCCGGUCUCAGUUCGGAUUGGGGUCUGCAACUCGACCCCAUGAAGUCGGAGUCGCUAGUAAUCGCAGAUCAGCAACGCUGCGGUGAAUACGUUCCCGGGCCUUGUACACACCGCCCGUCAAGUCACGAAAGUUGGUAACACCCGAAGCCGGUGGCCUAACCCCUUGUGGG